CUUGAUGGGCUGUCAUCUGAAGAGUUGGCUGUGAGAAAACAAAUAAAUACUUUAAAGGAUGAUGAAAUUUCCUUGAAACAUGGCCCUACAUUUAUGGAUUCUCUAUUCGGGGGCCAAAUUGCAAGUACUGUUUCUUGUAUUGAAUGCAACCACUCCUCAACUGUGUAUGAGCCAUUUUUAGAUCUCUCCCUCCCAGUUCCCAC
rnacentral:misc_RNA from 1 species